AAGCAGAUGAUAAUCACUGAUUGGUGCCAACCAAUCAUUUGUCAACUUAAUGUGUCAUAUGGAAUGUCUGCUACUUGGUGGUUAAGGUGCUUGCAAUUUCAUCACAGGGUCUGUGGUUCAAAUCUUGUUUCUGUGAGGACAAAUAAAUCCUGAAUCUAAAUCUGAAUUAUACAGUUGUACAGGAGAUCCAUCCAAAAUCAAAAUUUGUAUAAAGUUCACCAAAAUCCCAUUCAGAGAAAUCCUGAACAAUAGAAGAAAUAAUCAAUAGUAUAUAAAGAAAAAAUAGAGAACUAUGGAUACUGUACUCUAGGCAUGAUGGAUUAUAAAUUAUGGUAGUUUAAAUGUACCUAAGAAAUGCUAGUGGCAUUGUGCAGUUAGUUGAAUUAUUUCGUUUUAAGUCACAUGGAAAAGGUUGCUUUUAUAAAUAAUUCCAUCUUUAAAUGUGUAUAGUUUUCAUUUCAAAUGUUCUUUUCGGUUACCAAGCUAUCAGGAUUUUUGAUGUCCUCUCAUAGUCCUGUAAAAUAAAAAGGGGAGGGGUGGGGUGAAGAAAUUUGUAGCUAAAUUAUUAUCAUUAUUUACUAGGAAUGAAUGCAAAAUAGAGUGUACAUCGUAGUAUUUAGUAUUAUCUAUCAUGACAGACAGGUGUAAUAAUUUAGUAUCUUCUUUAGAAAUGUAAUAUUACCUUUCAAAUUGCAUUUUUAAAAAUAUUUACAUAAAGACUACGCAUAAUCAGCUGAGUUAUGAUAGAUUAACUAUAUUGAUUUGAAAAAUAUUGAUAUAGUAUAAUAAUAAUAUAGGAUCACACUCUGUAUUAGAACAUCUGGGUUUAGUGCAUACAGUAGUACAACACUGCAUGUUGAAAUCAUUUCACUUCAUCCUGUUGAAUCUAAUCGGUAGGAUUAAUGUUAUUAAUAUCGUCACCAUUUUAAUCAACCUUAGAAUGAAUGUUAAGACGAACUGGGACAUUGGCUAUUAACUGGGUCAGUGUAAACAUGAAUAUUAAUAACUAAAAUAAUAAUGAAUAGUAAUAGAAAUGAAGAUUGUAUUGCACAAUAUGUCAAUGUCAUGGCUUUUGUGCUAUUUUACAUGUUAUGGUUGAAAGAGAGACAUGAAAACCAAGAUAUAGUCUGAAACUAACCAGGUUGCCUGGAUUAUUAUUACUGCAGUCCAUCCAACAGCAGUUUAAGGUGUACAUUUGUGUAGACUGGGGGGUAGGGUACAGAUUAAGUUUGUUAAAAUUCUAACAAAAUGACCAUUAAGUUUUAUUCUAGGAUUUAGUUCUGUAUUUUCAUUUUUUGUACCACCUACCAUUUUUUUUGUAAGAUUGUGCAGCCUUUUAAGAGUUGCCUUAUCAUUUAUUAUUAAGGAAAAAAAGAAUUAAAUGUUUUUUUCUCCAAUUAAAGAUAGAGUUUGAGUUUAAAUAUUUCUCCUUAAAUAGACUUUUUAUUUACGGUAAUUAAUUUUUCU